CGGCGGGAACAAACCGCGGCCGCGGCGGGAGCUGUGCUGGGGUGGCCGGAGGCGGGUCCUCCGGUGGUUCCCGCACCUCCCGCACCUCCCUGCAGCCGCCUGCUUCAGUGCGCUCAGCCCUUGGAUGUGAAGGCUCACGCAGGAACCAGCCCGGAGAAGUGGCGACAGCCUCUUCCCGCGGCGGCGCGCAGGCCACCAAGGCCGGAGCGCACUGGGAACGCGAGCGGGAGCCUGAGACGCCCGGACCCGCGUCUCAGAGCUGGGCCCUACACAGCCUGCGAAGCUUCCGGCCCAUGGGACGGACGCGCCCGAAUGGUGGCGAGGAGCAAACUUGGCGCCCGCACCCUCAGAGAGGGAUUGGAGCCGCCGCACUCGCCCUCCUUCCUUCAGGACUCCAACUUUGAGCCUGCCUCUUCUAAGAAACUUGCUCUGUUCAGCCUCCAAAGCCCCGCCCUGCACAGCUCAAGGAGACACUGAUCUCCAGUUACACAAGGAAUCAAGCCUAAGAAAUAUAUAAUUUAUAUCUGCACAAACUGACAUUAUGAUGAGCAAAGUUUCCCAAAAGCUUUUCCUCAGCUGAAACAUGGGAAUAAACCAAGAAAAAGGAAGAUACAGAAUCCAGGAGCAGAAAAGCCUCGCAGGAAGAGAACAGAGGACUCCCGGGAUAACAGACAAGGAAGUUCCAGCUCCCCAUGUGUGCAGUGGAGGUGGAGCCAUCUGUCCAGAUGAGAGCUGGAAGCUGAUGACUCUGAGGGGAUGCUCCCAGGAAGGGAAAAACACAGCCACCAAACGCAGUGCCAUAUUUCCUGAGAAGUGACCCCACGAAAAACUGAACCACAGUGCUACUGGCAGGUGACUGCAGCAGCCAGCCAGCGCUGGAGCAGGCCCAAGUCGGGAAUGCCGAAGUCCACCUGAAUCUCCCAUGUGGGUGGCAGGGUGCCUCCAACGGUGCACAUUAGCGGCAAGCUGGCAUUGGAAGUGGAGCUGGGACUCAAAACCAAACUUCCAUAAGGAAUGCAGGCUUCCCAAGUGAAGUCCUGGCCACUGUACCAAACACCUCCAAAAACAGGCAUUUUGAUCUUCGUGUAGCUCUGCUUCUUAGAGAACUCCGGCUGGACUGUCCACUACCUGCUGGAUCCAGGGAGGGGCGGGUAGUUUUCUGAACGUGAAUGUGGGGGAGUAACCUCCAGUACCACCCCUCACCUCUUGUCAGCUUGUCACAGAACACUGUGAGGAUUUCAGGUGAGAAUGGAAAAGGCGCCAAAGUGCCACCCAGUCAGCCACUGUUCCACAGUCAGCAAAUAUUAAGUGGAGGGCUGCUGCACAUCAGGCAAAUUCAAUCUGACCCUUGCUCAAAGGGGUUAAUAGCUGGGGCGGGGGUCUACCCAGGGCACCUGCUAUGCACUGUGCAUGCCUGUCACCUUCUUAGGUUGCCCACUCCACCUCCUCACCCUUGGUCACCACCCCAGAGCUCCAAACCGUGCCAGCUGUCAGAGGCGCAGCCAGAACACCUAUCAAAUCCCAUUCACAUGGAGUUCAAGACACACGGGCCCUCCCCUGUCCUCUACCCCUAAUCCAGGCUCAGACUGGGAGCUUCGGGAUGGGAUGGGCGUGGGGCUGAUGCUUAGUGGUUAAGUGAGCACCAGGGAGCAGAACAGGGUCAGAGGUCAACUCCCCGCCCACACCUCAGCGAGACUCUGUCCUUGGUGCUGGGUUCAGGCAUGAGCCACCUCGGUCUGCUGCCCAAGCGGGGGAAGGCGGGGCAGAGUGGGCGGGGCAGUGUCCAGCUCCAGAAGUUCAGAGGGAGCGGUGUGGCCUAGUAGCCAUCCCAGUCCUCACAACUGGGAGCUUUAAGCUUGUUGCCCGAGCCGCCACCUGAGCCCAGGGCCUUUCUACCCUGUAUUAACAUGCAGGAGCUGAGGUGGGGUGUGAGAGCUUGCCUUUGCAAUGUGCCCCAGGGGGAUGCUGUAGCUCCAGAGACUGCACUUGGAAGGCAAGGCUGUAGGACGUUUAUCUCAUUGCUCUAAGCACUAAUAACUGCACUAACGUCUUUUCUCCAUU